rnacentral:rRNA from 1 species
GACGUAGGGCGCGAGCGUUGUCCGGAUUUAUUGGGCGUAAAGAGCUCGUAGGCGGCUUGUCGCGUCGAAUGUGAAAACCUGCAGCUCAACUGCAGGCUUGCAUUCGAUACGGGCAGGCUCGAGUUCGGCAGGGGAGACUGGAAUUCCUGGUGUAGCGGUGAAAUGCGCAGAUAUCAGGAGGAGCACCGGUGGCGAAGGCGGGUCUCUGGGCCGAUACUGACACUGAGGAGCGAAAGCGUGGGGAGCGAACAGG